rnacentral:misc_RNA from 1 species
AAUUCUCAACCACACAAGUUGUGUUAAACGACUUGAGUGGUUUGGAUUUGGGACUGUUGCUGGCUUUUCAAGUCGGCUAUCCUGAAAUGCAUUAGCAGUGCUUUUAUUUGCCAGUCUAUUGGUGUGAUAUGCAUCUACGCCAUUUGGAGAAUUGAAGUCUGCUUCUAACUGUCUUUGGACAACUUACUUGACA